rnacentral:misc_RNA from 1 species
CUUGAUGGUAGUCCAAAUCAUUUGAAGCAUGUUAAUGUGAGAAUCAUCAAGCAUAUACAUAUAUGUGCACUUGUUGUUGCACUAGAUUAUUCUAUAGCUGAAGUGCAGCAGAAGAUGGUACAUGUCAUUCAAAUAUCAGUCCAAUUCAUAUAUUUUUGUGAAAAGCAUUCCAAAUUUUUUUUUAGAAAUGUCAGGUGAACAUGCGAUUACAUGUUGUAAUUUCUUGGUCCUGGUCAGAGUCAAAGCCAAAGAGUUGAUUGUACAUGUACAUGUAUACAUAUUCCUUAUAUUGUAAUGUACUUCGUACAUAUGCACAUAUCGAUUGAUCAAACUUCCCCAUUGGGCCAGUAAUAGGAUUUUAGUGUAUAAAGAGUAUUUUAUGCAUUCUUUAUGUGUUGUACUGGUACAUGAGUGUAUGUAUGCAGGUAUAUGUAUUCAUUCAUUUUCAUCAAAGCUUAUUUCAUAUUACAACUACCGGUAUAUUUUGUUAUUUGACAUUGUUUAGCUGGUCUGAAUUCAAUUCCUGUGUCAAAAUGGGAUGGUUCUUUGAAAACUAAUUAUAACAAUCAUCAAGAUUCAUCACAUUGUUUAAUCCAACUUUGCAUUGUCAUAUUUGGUAUGUAUCUUAGCAAAUUUUCUAGCAGGGAUGAAACACACAGCAUUGUAAUAUUAUUAAUACAUACUUAUCUUUUUGAGAAGUUUAUUAAGGAAAAAUACAUUGACAACUUUUAAGGAUUUAUGAAAACCCGUUUUUACAUGUUAAACUUGACUGUUCCAUUAGAGAUACUUCCUUAUUAACACUUUAAUUUUGGUAAAUCUAAUCAAUAAGCAACACAUUUUAUGACUGAAUUCACCAUCGUUAAAAAACGAUGACUUGAUAUAUGCUGUGUACCACAGCAGUUGGUUCUGCUUUUAAGAUAUUGUUUCUGUGAAUUUGUUACGUGGGUGUGCAAUAUAUCUGCUCUAAAAAGAGAGAAUGCUCAUUUGC